UCGGCGACCGGCGCACGGGUGAGUAACGCGUAUCCAACCUGCCCAUAACUAAGGGAUAACCCAGCGAAAGUUGGACUAAUACCGCAUAGUCUUCGAUGACGGCAUCAGAUUUGAAGUAAAGAUUUAUCGGUAAUGGAUGGGGAUGCGUCUGAUUAGCUUGUUGGCGGGGUAACGGCCCACCAAGGCGACGAUCAGUAGGGGUUCUUAGAGGAAGGUCCCCCACAUUGGAACUGAGACACGGUCCAAACUCCUACGGGAGGCAGCAGCC
rnacentral:rRNA from 1 species